GCCAUUUUUCUCUCUAAAAUGUUUUAUUAGGGUGACAUUGCUCGAAUGGACUUUUCCUUAUGUUAAUUCGAUUUUUGUUUUAGGUGGCAUUUGCUCAUGAGGUUACUUCAAUGUGGAGCAAUCAUGAAAUUACUUAGCUCUUUUAUCAAGCUUCACACCUUGAAAAUAUGUUGUUAGCCUAUGAUGGAAAAGCCUUUGUAUUUGUUUUUAGUCCAUUGCCCUUCGAGUCUAAAGAAUUUUACGAUAAAAUCUUUGAAAACGAUGAGUAUAACAUAAUUUCAAAUAAUUUAUGUUGAUUAUCAUUUCUUUUAAAAACAUCGUAUUAUGCAGUUGUUGGUAUGUAUUUUAGUAUGGAUAAGAUUUUUAUGUUACAAUUAUGUUUGCUGCCAAUAGCUACCUGAGGCAUUUCAUGAAUUGUAAGGUGGCUAACAACCCACAAUAAAAUAUUCACACUCUCAAUGUGGUUCUAUGGGAUUAUGCUCUAAUAGGGUAACAUGGUUCUAAGUGAUUUUUCUUUAAUCGGUCAGUGGUUGCGCCAUCAUUGUACAAAAACCAAUUUUGCUAAGGUGGACAUAGUGAUGGCAUUCAAUAUUAGAAAUGGUUUUAUCAAAGUCCACAACUAACACAAAUGGGGUUAUCACUCACUGUUGGUAUACACCUCUAACCGUUAUACUGUGUUAGUUUGACUAACACUAUUCAUGUUGGGAUUUUAAUACAAGUUUUCACUGCUUGAUUCUAAACAACAACAACGACAAAAACAACAAAUAAAUGUAGACGGUUUGCAGACUCUUCCAGACGCCCCUGGUUUGGCUUUCGGUGGCUAAUUAAAUAAAAUGUUGUGUACUUUGUGCAUAGAGGAUACUGGUUUGUUGAUGCUAGUGAACUUUUAGAGUAUGACCAACAAGGGGAUAUGAAAUUUAUGUUCAGUCUUAGACUCUCAUCCUUUCUCACCCCUCCUAAGCUGACGAACACGAAGGACAACUUUAAGUUACCUUUUUGUCUGCUCUCUUUGUAGAUCAUUUUAAUCAAAGUGUUAAAAGGGUUGAUUGGCAUUUUGUAAUCACCGAGUUCACACUUAGCCGAAGAUCUGAGUUAAAAUUCUCGUUUCCUCCCCGUAUGAACUUCACUUUCACUUUUAAUUCGUAUACAUUGAAUAUCACUACACACAUCAGGUUCAUUUGCACAUACGACUGCGAGAAGGUGAUAGUGGAGGAGGGUAGCAAGGAUCAUCGACCCUCACCAUAUGAAUAUGGCUUUGUUUCGUAUGGCAAAUCUAUCCUACAUGAUCUCAUUUAUCAAUGUGGAGUCCUAUAAUCCUGUAUACAUUAACCUCCCUCAAUCUUCAAUGAGUUAUUAGAAGACCCAAGGUGCCCUAUAUGAAUACAUGAUCUCAUUUAUCAAUGUGGAGUCCUAUAAUCCUGUAUACAUUAACCUCCCUCAAUCUUCAAUGAAUUAUCAGAAGACCCAAGGUGCCCUAUAUGAAUACACCCAUGAGUUCCUAUCGUAUUAUCUAUACAAGUGGCUUGUUAUCUUAAAUGAUGCUAUAAGCAUCCAUAUCCUCGGGGUUACUCUGUGAAAUCUGUCACUUUUUUUCGUAUAAACAACGAUUAAACGUGA